AUGCCGCGGAGGCUCGUCAGGUACACAACCACCCGCCUCGCGCUCUCCGGCGGGGGCGGGGGCGGCGGGGGAUUCUUUUGUGACCUGCUGUCGAUCCUUCCCUGGAGCACGUCGAGCCGCGCCCGCACGACGCCGGCGAACACCUGGAUUUCCUCCUUCUUGACGAUGGCUCCGCCGUCGCUCGCGACGUCAGCGAACACCUGGAUUUCCUCCUUCUUGACGAUGGCUCCGCCGAACACCUGGAUUUCCUCCUUCUUGACGACGGCCCCUCCGUCGCUCGCGACGUCGGCGAGCACCUGGAUUUCCUCCUUCUUGACGACGGCUCCUCCGUCGCUCGCGACGUCGUCGAGCACCUGGAUUUCCUCCUUUUUGACGACGGCUCCUCCGUCGCUCACGACGUCGGCGUCCGGGUGUGGGGGCGACAGCUCGGCGAGCGCCUCCCGGAACGCGGACAGGACGUCGGGGUCGAACUCGGGCGAUCCGCACGCCGACGGAACCUGCCCGUCCAGGCAAUCAUCGUAUUCUUCGUCCUCCGCACCGUCGUCGUCGAGCCCGUCCAUGAGCUCCCACACGUUGAUCUCCUCGGGGUCGCGCGCGGGCGUCUUGGUGGGCGUCCGCGGGGGCGCCAGCCUCUGCCGCUUCACCGGCUGGCCCGGCUCCACCUUGGGCGACGCCGGGAACCACCCGGCGAAGGACCGGCACCUCCCCGACACGCCCUCCUUCCCGGGCCUCGCAGUCGUCGCCGUCGCCCCCGCCCCCUCCCCUCCGGCGAAAGAAACCGCCGCGGCGGCCGUGGCGCGGUCGAGGCUGAGCGUGCCGAGCGUGGACGACCUGAGCGCGACGGAGUGGCGCGCCACGAGCCCCGACGCGCACUUCCGCGGCUCCAGCGCGGCGCCGCCGCCGCCAUGCAGCGCGUGCUUGGACCCCUUGCACCCCAUCCGCCACCGCCGUGGAGAGAACCGCGCGCGGCCAAACCAAAACCUCCGUCUGCCACUCAGGAAAGAAGGAAGGAAGCGAUCGGUCGAACACGGGCCCGACCCAGUUCCCCGAACCGUUCAAACGGUAGGGAGGAACCGUUCGUUGCCGGCGCGUGCAGAGUGGAAAGGAAAGGCUGCGCGGCGCGUGCAACGGGGCCGGCGAGAUCUGUGGUGGCGUGGAGACGAGACGGGACGGGACGGAAAGCGUGGAGCGCAUAUGAAAGGGAGGUGGAUCGCGGGUACGAACGGAACGGGAGCCCGUGCGAGUUGA
rnacentral:rRNA from 1 species